CAGGAAAAUGGUAAUAUCAAAGCUGCAGCUGCUACCAAUGAUGUUAUUGAGCACAAGACCAGCUUAAAACCGUGGUCGAUAAAGUGAAAGACUUCUUUGGUGAUGCAAAAGAGUCGUUCAGGAAGAUAACAUCGCUAAACUCUGCCGAUUCCGAGUCGGACGAAAAAUCUACAGAAAAGGCCGAGGUUGGAGGCUGAGGAAAGACUAGCCGUGGGACCUGGAUUUGGAUGCUGCAUGUGUUCGGGCAAAAAGUGAAACUUUCUGCACCAAAGUUUUGUUCAUCGUCUAUCUAUGUUUCACUGUGCAUAAUUCUCAACUUCAAAAGUUCCCAAUAGUUUAUUCGUGCACGUAUUUAAUGUUUUUG